rnacentral:lncRNA from 1 species
CUUAUUUCUCAUAAUAUUUCAUUCAAAAGCUUUAUUUUCCAUAUAAAAUGUACGAACACCUUACAGAGCACUCUUUGGGAAAGGAUGCCCGACUUUUAAAAGGAAGACCCAAACAAACUGGUCAACAGAAACGGAGUGCUGCUGUGGUGCCAUGCCCGAGACAGCUGCCAAUAGUCCUCUGCCACUCACCAUCCUUGCAUCAGCAUCUGGGACAUGAGACAACGGAAGCUGAAAAAUAAUUGCUGAGGAAGGAGGAACUUUUCUAGAAGAACUUAAAUCCGAAAGCUAUGGGAUAGUAAUGAGAAGUGGAGGAGAACAAAAAAGGCAUGGAAAGUAAAAUCAGGAGGCAAAACAAACGUUUUAGAACAGCCAAGUGUGGGGAGUUGGAAAGUGAAGCUCUGAGUAGAAACCAGAGUUACAAAAUUUCAGAGCUGGAAGGGGCCUUAUGAGGAAGCAGAAUUGGGCCCGAGGACUAAAUAGUUGCCAAAAACCACACAGGCAAUUAGUGGCAGACAAGAGAGGACCUUCCUUUUUGCUAACCAGGGCUCUUUCCAUUGAAACAUGUGGCCCUCUCACUAUGUAACUAAAAACCUUUCACAAAAUCCAAGUAAACACAGAGAAACAUCCUCUCUUCUGUCUUCACUGCUUUCUCUGCCCACACCUGCACAUGUGCACACACAGCCACAAUUACAACAUACAGGAAAUUGAAGGAAGCCAUCUGAAACUUCAACGUCGGGCACAGCCGCCACAGAUAACAUAUCAAAUGCAAGGCUAGAAAUCAGCACUGUUCACAUUCACACAGGAAGCCCGACUCAAGCUGUUUGACCCUAUUUAGUAAUCAGUUCCAUACUCACAAGAGAAUGCCAGAACAAAAACAGAAGGAAAAGAAAAAAAAUAACUCCAACCCUCCUUUUCCUUUGGAAGAGGAUUUAUACCAAGAAGUUUAAAGAGAGGCCCAGCUGGUUUAUAGAAUUUUGCAGGAAAUUUGGGGACCUCUGUGAUGCCAUUGUCUUCCCUGGCCCAGGAAAGUAGCCAUACCAAGGCAGUUAUGGGGAUAAUUCAAACAAAUCAAAGCCGUAUUUCACCUCAAUUGUGCUUAUACUUUAGGCAAAAGUAUUUUGGACCUAAAUAUUUCCGAUAAUCAUCAGAUGCAUCCUGGCCUCAUGGGAAAUGCUGAGAAAAUCUAUGGGGCUACUAUCCACUUACUAGCUCUGUAACCUUGGGUAACUUACUUAACUGUUCUGAGCCUCUUCCUUCCUCUACCAAAAUGAGAUUGAUCAACUAUUGCCUUCCAGAAUAGUUCUGAGGUGAAAAUGAGAGUCAAUGUUCUAUGGCAUGAAGACACACCAGGAAAUAUUAGCCGUUUCUUUCAGACAUAUAUGUAUAUUUAGUAAUUAUUAAAUAUUUAAUAUAUAUUUAUAUAUAUUAAAUUUUAGACAGUAUUAUAUAUAAUUAUAUAAAAAUUAUGUAUAGUAAAUAUUACAUAUAUAUUUAAGUUUUACACACACAUAUAUAUAUAUAUAUAUAUAUUUUUUUUUUUUUUUUUUCCUGAGACAGGGUCUCCUUCUGUCACCCUGACUAGAAUGCAGUGGCAGAAUCAUGGCUCACAGGAGCCUCAACCUCCCUGGGCUCAGGUGAUCCUCCCACCUCAGCCUCCCAAGUAUCUGGGACUACAGGUGUGACACCACACACAGCUAAUUUUUGUAUUUUUUGUAGAGACGAGGUUUCACCAUGUCGCCCAGGCUGAUCUUGAACUCCUGGAGUCGAAC